rnacentral:rRNA from 1 species
GAUGAACGCUGGCGGCGUGCCUAAUACAUGCAAGUCGAGCGAACAGACGAGGAGCUUGCUCCUCUGACGUUAGCGGCGGACGGGUGAGUAACACGUGGAUAACCUACCUAUAAGACUGGGAUAACUUCGGGAAACCGGAGCUAAUACCGGAUAAUAUAUUGAACCGCAUGGUUCAAUAGUGAAAGACGGUUUUGCUGUCACUUAUAGAUGGAUCCGCGCCGCAUUAGCUAGUUGGUAAGGUAACGGCUUACCAAGGCAACGACGCGUAGCCGACCUGAGAGGGGGGAUGGCCCACCUGGAAAUUAGACAAGGGCCAGACUCCCACGGGGAGGAAGAGGAGGGAAUUCUUCGGAAAUGGGCGAAAGCCUGCCGGGGAAACGCGGCGUGAGUGAUGAAGGCUUUCGAAUCGUAAACCUCUGUUAUUAGGGAAGAACAAAUGUGUAAGUACUUAUGAACGUCUUAAGGGUACCUAACAAGAAAGCACCGGUUAACUACGU